rnacentral:rRNA from 1 species
AGGGUGUAAACGCUGCAGACUUGGUGUUGGAAGCCCUUUGGGGGCAUUCAGUGCCGGAGAGAAGUUGUUAAGUCUGCUACUUGGGGAGUACGUCCGCAAGGAUGAAACUUAAAGGAAUUGGCGGGGGAGCACCGCAACGGGAGGAGCGUGCGGUUUAAUUGGAUUCAACACCGUAAACUCACCAGGGAAGACCGUUACAUGAAGGCCGAGAUGAAGACUCUGCUAGAUUUUCAGAGAGGUGGUGCAUGGCCGUCAGUGACU